rnacentral:rRNA from 1 species
GAUGAACGCUGGCGGCGUGCCUAAUACAUGCAAGUCGAGCGAACAGACGAGGAGCAUGCUCCUCUGACGUUAGCGGCGGACGGGUGGGUAACACGUGGAUAAACUAACUAUAAGACUGGGAUAACUUCGGGAAACCGGAGCUAAUACCGGAUAAUAUAUUGAACCGCAUGGUUCAAUAGUGAAAGACGGUUUUGCUGUCACUUAUAGAUGGAUCCGCGCCGCAUUAGCUAGUUGGUAAGGUAACGGCUUACCAAGGCAACGAUGCGUAGCCGACCUGAGAGGGUGGUCGGCCACACGGGAACUGAGACACGUUCCAGACUCCUACGGGGGGCAGCAGUAGGGAAUCUUCCGCAAUGGGCGAAAGCUUGACGGAGCAACGCCGCGUGAGUGAUGAAGGUCUUCGGAUCGUAAAACUCUGUUAUUAGGGAAGAACAAAUGUGUAAGUAACUAUGCACGUCUUGACGGUACCUAAUCAGAAAGCCACGGCUAACUACGUG